AGAGGGAUGUAGGGAGGUGGGUCAUCAAACUGUCAAAGUCCUGAGAUGACUGACAACACGUUCUUUCUUUUGCUGUGGAAACGCUGUCCGAGAAGGAUGAAUUUAGUCAUUGCUGGGUACUCUCUUACGUGACAUGUUUGUUCAUAGGCAUGGAUUUCUUGGUUAGUUUGAUGUUUGGAGCUGCCAAUGGUGUUGAUGCAGCGUUCAUGGUGUGAGCAGUGGUUUUGUAGUCAUUUUCCAGUCGAGAUGUCUUGAAAUGGAGCUUGUGCAGACAUUCAGUUCAACAUCAUACUUCAAUGUGUUAUUUGCCUAUGUUGGUGUUUUUGCAGUGUUGACCUGUUGUACAAAAUAGUCGAUGUUGCCUGGUGGCUGUUGGGUAUGUUUUAUCGGCUGCCUUUUGUCGAUGUGUCGUCUCGUCUCUUGCCACCUGUAAACACGUUAAGUUCAAUCGUACGCUGCCGUUCCAGAUUUGAUCGAUUGGUGAAGCCGAAAAGAGGUUGCUGUAAUUCAAGACUGAAAAAUUAAUUAGACUGGACAAUUUACAAAUGGAUAUCUGUUGUCCCUUUUUCCCUGAGUAAACAGCAUGUCCGCCGUUGGUUAUUCGUCUGGUCGAAAGGGAAAUAGCAAUGAGAAGUUCUGAUGUAUUUUUGGAGAAAGAUUAGUUUGACCACGAA